rnacentral:rRNA from 1 species
UACGGAGGGUGCAAGCGUUAAUCGGAAUUACUGGGCGUAAAGGGUGCGUAGGUGGUUUAGUAAGUUAACUGUGAAAGCCCUGGGCUUAACCUGGGAAGGCCAGUUAAGACUGUUGGACUAGAGUAUGGGAGAGGGUAGUGGAAUUUCCGGUUGUAGCGGUGAAAUGCGUAGAGAUCGGAAGGAACACCAGUGGCGAAGGCGGCUACCUGGCCCCAAUACUGACACUGAGGCACGGAAAGCGUGG